rnacentral:rRNA from 1 species
AGAGUUUGAUCCUGGCUCAGAACGAACGCUGGCGGCGUGGAUAAGACAUGCGAGUCGAACGGGACUAAAUCUGUAGCAAUACAGGUUUAGUUUAGUGGCGAACGGGUGCGUAACACGUGGGGAAUCUGCCGAGAAGUGGGGGAUAGCUCGCCGAAAGGCGAAUUAAUACCGCAUAUGAUCAGCUAAGACAUCUUAGCGACAUCAAAGCCGGGGUAACCUGGCGCUUCUUGAUGACCCCGCGGCCUAUCAGCUAGUUGGUGAGGUAACGGCUCACCAAGGCUAUGACGGGUAGCUGGUCUGAGAGGACGACCAGUCACACUGGAACUGAGACACGGUCCAGACACCUACGGGUGGCAGCAGUCGAGAAUUUUUCACAAUGGGGGCAACCCUGAUGGAGCAACGCCGCGUGGAGGAUGAAGGCUUUCGGGUCGUAAACUCCUGUCAUUUGAGAACAAGUGUAGCUAAGUAACUACUGGCUACUUGAUAGUAUCAGAAGAGGAAGAGACGGCUAACUCUGUGCCAGCAGCCGCGGUAAUACAGAGGUCUCAAGCGUUGUUCGGAUUCAUUGGGCGUAAAGGGUGCGUAGGUGGCGGGGUAAGUCGGGUGUGAAAUUUCGGAGCUUAACUCCGAAACUGCAUUCGAUACUGCCUUGCUUGAGGACUGGAGAGGAGACUGGAAUUUACUGUGUAGCAGUGAAAUGCGUAGAUAUCGUAAGGAAGACCAGUGGCGACGCGGGUCUCUGGACAGUUCCUGACACUGAGGCACGAAGCUAGGGGAGCAAACGGGAUUAGAUACCCCGGUAGUCC